rnacentral:lncRNA from 1 species
UGGUUUAGCCCUGAAUUAGUCAAUGGUUUGACCAAUCAACUGUUGACCGUUGACUAUUAACUAGGUUUUAACAUAAUUUUUUUUUAUUUUUUGGUAAUUUUUAGUGCAAUUUUAAAUUCAAAUAUUGAUAUGUUUACAUAUAUUUUGAGAUAAAUUAAUUGAAGCAACAUGUCUCCAAAAUGACUUCUCUUGUGGAAAUUAAUUUGUUUUGGAAUAUAAAACAGUUGUGUGUAUGUAAUUUCUAU